GAUCUAGCUUGCUAGAUGCUGACGAGUGGCGCACGGGUGCGUAACGCGUAUACAAUCUACCUUUAACUGAGGGAUAGCCCAGAGAAAUUUGGAUUAAUACCUCAUAGUAUUAUAAUUAGGCAUCUUUUUAUAGUUAAAACUUCGGUGGUUAAAGAUGAGUAUGCGUACUAUUAGCUAGUUGGUAAGGUAAAAGCUUACCAAGGCAACGAUAGUUAGGGGGCCUGAAAGGGUGAUCCCCCACACUGGUACUGAGACACGGACCAGACUCCUACGGGAGGCAGCAGUGAGGAAUAUUGCACAAUGGAGGAAACUCUGAUGCAGCCAUGCCGCGUGCAGGAAGAAUGCCCUAUGGGUUGUAAACUGCUUUUAUACAAGAAGAAACCUCGGUACGUGUACCGACCUGACGGUAUUGUAUGAAUAAGCACCGGCUAACUCCGUGCCAGCAGCCGCGGUAAUACGGAGGGUGCGAGCGUUAUCCGGAUUUAUUAGGUUUAAAGGGUCCGCAGGCGGAAUAUUAAGUCAGUGGUGAAAGCCUACAGCUCAACUGUAGAACUGCCAUUGAUACUGAUAUUCUUGAGUAUGGAU
rnacentral:rRNA from 1 species